UCCUGUUAAUUUGUAUUGAACGAGUUACACAUGAAGCCCGUCAAUCUUGGUAAUAUCUUGGUAGUUUUGACCAAUCAUAGCCCGUGUCGCUACCACCAGGAAAGUGCCAAUCACAUUUCGCAGACCUACCAAGAAUCAAGUGACAGAAUUAUCCAAUCAGAUCUCGUAGAACUACCAAGAAUACUGAGCGUUUUCAACGGUGGGAGAUUAUUGAAUCUUGAAGUCUUUUGGUUUAUUUCCAAAUACAAUCAUCUGAAGUAAUAUUUACUGCGACGAAAAGCCUUAGGAAGAUCCACCGGCUGAAAGAUAUAAAACAGUCGAUGGCGUACCCUGUACCACUCCUUUUCAUCCACGUUGACAGCAAACAUCCAGACUGAAGUCAGAGGCGAGUGAGGAAGCACAAGAACCGUCCUCGGCACCACUGGGGGCAAUUGACGACGGCGAUACUUACAGGUUCCAGAGUCCAGGAGAGAGCAGUGGUGAUGCGGGUUCCAUCCGGGCUGGGGAGACAAAGAGGUGGAGACACGGAAGGGUGCAAGUCCAGCUAAAGGGAAGUAACCAGCUUUGCUGGAUUUAGGAGGAAUUGUGAACUUGCUUAUCUGUAUUUCCUCUUUCCUGAAAGCUACUUUUGACCCUUUCCAGGUUUUCUGGGAUCUCCCCUCUGUAGAAUCUGCGGCGGAUUGGAGGACGGUUCCUGCGGGUGUAGAGCUUCCUGGAGGAUGACGAUCUGAGGCAGGGACGGUGGGGGGAGUGUAACACCCCCCCUUUUUUUGGACUCAUCAAUCUUUUCCAAUUAGUUUGCAGGAUUCUGGACUACUAACUACGAACUGCAUUAUUAUUGCACUUUGUCUCCUUUGUUGGACUUGCUGUGAUUAGUAAUUGAGUGUUUUUACCCGGGGAGGGUAGCUCCAAGUAGUAUUUCUAGACUUUGUAUUUUGUUGUUUUAGUGGGAGCUUCCUUGUGUGUGUAUUUUUAAAGUGAACCUAACCCUGUGGAGAAUUAAUAAAGUUUGU